rnacentral:rRNA from 1 species
UACGUAGGGUGCGAGCGUUAAUCGGAAUACUGGGCGUAAGGCGUGCGCAGGCGGUGAUGUAAGACAGGUGUGAAAUCCCCGGGCUUAACCUGGGAACUGCAUUUGUGACUGCAUCGCUGGAGUGCGGCAGAGGGGGAUGGAAUUCCGCGUGUAGCAGUGAAAUGCGUAGAUAUGCGGAGGAACACCGAUGGCGAAGGCAAUCCCCUGGGCCUGCACUGACGCUCAUGCACGAAAGCGUGGGGAGCAAACAGG